rnacentral:rRNA from 1 species
UACGGAGGAUGCAAGCGUUAUCCGGAUUCAUUGGGCUUAAAGGGUGCGUAGGCGGACUAUUAAGUCAGUGGUGAAAGCCUGCAGCUUAACUGCAGAACUGCCAUUGAUACUGAUAGUCUUGAGUUUGGUUAAGGUAGGCGGAAUGUGUAAUGUAGCGGUGAAAUGCUUAGAUAUUACACAGAACACCAAUUGCGUAGGCAGCUUACUGAGCCGACACUGACGCUGAGGCACGAAAGCGUGGGGAGUCGAACA